GAAUGCCAAAUUUCUAGUAUGAGGAACUAAUGAUUUAAGUCCUUCUUAAAUGAGGCCAUUUACCCAUAGAGGGUGCCAGGCCCGUAUAACGUUAGUGAUUACUAGAUGGUAUUUCCAAAGAGUCGUGUUGCUUGAUAGUGCAGCACUAAGUUGGUGGUAAACUCCAUCUAAAACUAAAUAUAACCAUGAGACCGAUAGUAAACAAGUACCGUGAGGGAAAGUUGAAAAGAACUCUGAAUAGAGAGUUAAAUAGUACGUGAAACUGCUUAGAGGUUAAGCCUGAUGAACCUGAAUAUCUAUUAUAGAAAAUUCAUCAUUAUGACUUUAACAUGUUAUAAUAAUAGUGUGCAUUUUUUCUAUAUAAGACAUUGUAAUCUAUUAAUAAUUUAUCAUAAGGUCAGCGUAUGCUUAUUGAAAAAAUAGUAAUCUAAAAAUCAAUAAAUGCAUUUGACUCGAUAAAGUAUUGAUAGAUUUAAUAUAUAGUGCUUGAAUAAUAUUCUAUAAUAGCAUAUUAAUUAUUAAUUUUUAUGUUUAUUAUAUGCGCUUAUAUGAUUAACAAUGCGAAAGAUUCAGGAUACCUUCGGGACCCGUCUUGAAACACGGACCAAGGAGUCUAACAUAUUUGCAAGUUAUUGGGCAAAACCUAAUAGCGAAAUUAACAUAACUUAUGGGAUUAGUUUUUAGCCUAUUAAUUCAAUCCCGGGGCGUUCUUAUAUAGUUAUGUGUAAUAAUAUUUAUAUUAUUUAUACCUCUAACUAGAACGUACCUUGAGCAUAUAUGCUAUGACCCGAAAGAUGGUGAACUAUACUUGAUCAGGUUUAAGUCAGGGGAAA
rnacentral:rRNA from 1 species